rnacentral:lncRNA from 1 species
UGUCAGUUCCUUCCUUUGCCUGAAUAAAAACAUAACAAAUGGUCACUACAUUAACUGGCCCAAGCUGUCACGGGGAAGGGCUCUGGCCUGCAGUCUUGUCAUUGCCUGUUGUACACGCGGUGUGAGCACACCUCAUGAGGCCAUCGGUACUUUUCAGGUGGGUGUGAUGGAAGAGAAGGUAAAACUGUCCAAUCUUAGGGAUGUGGACUCCACAGGCAGCCUGCCCCAGAAGUACCAAGAAUUGCUGAAAGCCAUGCAGGGCAAAGUAGAGCUCAUCGACCAGCUGGAGGCACAGCUGGAGAAGCAGAAGCAGAUGAGAGCCGAGGAAGCAAAAAUGGUUCAGAAGAAAGCUGCAAAGAUCAAGGAGUGGGUGGCACUAAAGUUAACGGAGGUCAGUCGGAAGCUCCGCUCAGGGGCCUGGCCGGAGGUGUAGCUGGGCUUGGUCGCCCU